UACGGAGGAUGCAAGCGUUUUUCGGAAUUAUUGGGCGUAAAGGGCGUGUAGGCGGUUAGCUAAGUCAGAUGUGAAAUCCCUAGGCUUAACCUAGGAAAUGCAUUUGAAACUGGUUAGCUAGAGUACGGGAGAGGAAGGUGGAAUUCCUGGUGUAGAGGUGAAAUUCGUAGAUAUCGGGAAGAACACCCGUGGCGAAGGCGGCCUUCUGGCCCGAUACUGGCGCUGAGACGCGAAAGCGUGGGGAGCAAACAGG
rnacentral:rRNA from 1 species